rnacentral:miRNA from 1 species
UGACUGACUUACUACAAGUCCCAGGAUGCAUUGCAGCUUUUUCUUAACUUCAGACUAGAGCAUUGCAUGCUGGGGCAUGUAGUUGAUUUAAGCAGCA